GUCGUCAUUGUUAUAAGAUGGUAAUAACAUCAUCAAAUAUUUGCCCUGUUGAAUGGAUGUACGUUUUUGCGUCACAUCCUGUUGAUGCUAAAAUUAUGUGCACUGUUACAUCAAGAUUCAUGAACUUGUCAGCAGUGCAGCCAGCCUUCUUUCUAUGGCCGUAAUGUAAUCGUUAACAGCUCUCGAAAUGAGCAGACAGCUCAGCUGCUUGGUGCAUACUCUUACCAAUCGGUCUAUAUUAUUCCCUCUUGCAUUAUUUAUUUUCAGGCGGUGGAAGAAGCACUUGCAGGUAUGCUACCGACCAGGCUCCUCAACAUCAAUCCGAGACGGAAGAUGAAACGGGAUGAAGCAGUUAGAUUGAGACAAGGAGGCCGGAAACUUUGAUGACCUCAAUGACACUGGCUAGGUGAAGGACAUCAAGAAAAUGGCAUCAGGUCACCAGACAUCAGCUCAUAAUCCACAACGUCAUCAACCAUUUUGCGCCAAAAAUGAAGCCGUUCACAUACCAUGGCAUCCUAAGCAGGCAGCACUACACUACUGUGCAACAGUGAGAGAGAGUGGGCAAGGACAAGUAAAGCGGACCUACACUACAGCAAGACUUUGACACUUCUCCACGUGAGAGGCAGCCAUCGCCCCCACCGUUGAGCAGUGUGUACCCAGUACCCCCAAAAGAGGAGAUGAUCCGACGCCCUCACAGCCGAUUCCCAAAAUUGUACACAAAAACUCUGUAUGGGCAAGUGUGUGUGUGUAUGAUAUUGUAAAACUUUUCAGUCCAUCUUCUAUACUAUACAAUGUAUAAAUAUACAUGUGAAAACCUAAAUAUGCAUUAAAAACCAUUACUGAGGUUAAGAAAUGCAUUAUAACAAAUACAUCUGAUUCAGGUGUACUGUACAUAGAAAUGUCUUUAUUUGCCACAAAUACAUCACAUCCUGGAAACCUGUACAAUGUGUAGAUUCAAAGGUCUGCCAGAUCUUUGUGACGGCACAGGAUUGCAGUGGAACCCAAACAUAGCCUAUGAACUCCCACGCCAUCUCACCAACUGCCGAUAUGCAGUAUGCCUGAAUUUCCUGUACAGCAAAGAAAUGUAGAGAUUGUGCCUUCAUCGAGAAUAGGUCAUUUGGAAUCACAACAUAUUCAAUUUACUUUGUGCGUGUGGUGUAGCUAUUGCUGGUAUUAUUAUGUUACUAGUGACCCAUUUAGUUGAGCUCAAUAGUCUACAUGACAUCUCUGCACUUGUGUUACCACUAUUGGGAUUGGCAGCUCCCUAAAUGAAAAUGAGAAGAACUUGCCUGGAUGAAAUGUUAUGAACUGUGUGCGUUGUGCUGCUUGCUGAAGUAACAUGACACCCACAUCACCU